rnacentral:rRNA from 1 species
UACGAAGGAUGCAGGCGUUAUCCGGAUUUAUUGGGUUUAAAGGGUGCGUAGGCGGACUUAUAAGUCAGUGGUGAAAUCUCGUUGCUUAACAACGAACGUGCCAUUGAUACUGUAGGUCUUGAGUACAGAUGCCGUUGGCGGAAUGUGUCAUGUAGCGGUGAAAUGUAUAGAUAUGACACAGAACACCGAUUGCGAAGGCAGCUGACGAAACUGUAACUGACGCUGAGGCACGAAAGCGUGGGGAUCAAACAGG